rnacentral:rRNA from 1 species
AUGGCUCAGGAUGAACGCUAGCGACAGGCUUAACACAUGCAAGUCGAGGGGCAGCACGGGAGUAGCAAUACAACUGGUGGCGACCGGCGCACGGGUGAGUAACGCGUAUGCAACCUACCUAUCAGAGGGGAAUAACCCGGCGAAAGUCGGACUAAUACCGCAUAAAACAGGGGCACCGCAUGGUGAUAUUUGUUAAAGAAAUUCGCUGAUAGAUGGGCAUGCGUUCCAUUAGGUAGUUGGUGAGGUAACGGCUCACCAAGCCGACGAUGGAUAGGGGAACUGAGAGGUUGGUCCCCCACACUGGUACUGAGACACGGACCAGACUCCUACGGGAAGCAGCAGUGAGGAAUAUUGGUCAAUGGGCGGGAGCCUGAGCCAGCCAAGUCGCGUGAAGGAAGAAGGAUCUAUGGUUCGUAAACUUCUUUUGCAGGGGAAUAAAGUGCAGGACGUGUCCUGUUUUGUAUGUACCCUGAGAAUAAGGAUCGGCUAACUCCGUGCCAGCCGCUGC